rnacentral:lncRNA from 1 species
AAUUUCUUUUAUUCUUUGUAUUUAUUAUGUUUUGUAAUUGUUUUGUAGUUUAUAUUGUCAAAUAUUUAAUUUUAUUGUGUGUUUCUUUAAAUUCUAACAUGUUUCGUAUUUUUUCUUAUUUGGUAAUAUUUUCUAAUUUUUUAAUCUUUCUUGCUUGUAAUAUUUUAAAUAUAAUAUAUACUUUUCAUAUUUCUUUCUUAGAAAAAUUAUUUUUUAUACUAGUUUUGUAAUAUAAUCAUUUAAUUAUUUGAUGUGUUAUAUAGUCGGAAAUUUCAUUUAUGUUAUGUAAUACUAAUAUUUUUUUAUCAUUGUUCUGUGUUCUAUUUUUUAUGUUCUAUAAUAUUAAUGUUCUGUAAUUUUUUAAAGGAAAAUAAAUAAACACACUAAACAACAUCUGAUAAUGCGGCAGUUAACAUUAGAUAACAGUUACAGCUCGUCAAAGUUGACCAUCCUGUGUCUAUACUACACCCUAUCUAUGCUAUACCCUAUCAUUCAACCGUUAAAUUUUUUUUAAUUCAACCAUCAUGAUUUAGUUACCAAGUUACUAGGGUAGUUUAGUUCCUCGUUGAACCAUCCCCUAUAUAUAUAUAUAUAUAUAU